AAUAUAUUAAUUUAAGGGUAAAAUACGAGACUUUUAAUCUUUGUUAUAUGGGUUCGAAUCCCAUAGGUCUUA
rfam:Botryotinia fuckeliana BcDW1 unplaced genomic scaffold Scaffold_87, whole genome shotgun sequence.